AACUACUCUAAUUUUGUAAUCUCUCUAUUGUACUCUUGUUGAUAUAGUGAAGUUGUUCCUCUUCGCUCAUGGACGUAGGUCACACUGACCGAACCACGUUAAAUUUGUGUCUCCUUUAAUUUUUAUUUUAAUUACUGUUACUAUCAACUUGUUAUAUUGUCUUUGUUAUUGUCAUGAUAACAUUGUUUGGCUAAAUUCCGCAAUAACCGG
rnacentral:lncRNA from 1 species